UGCGUCCCAUUAGCUUGUUGGUAAGGUAACGGCUUACCAAGGCAAUGAUGGGUAGGGGUCCUGAGAGGGAGAUCCCCCACACUGGUACUGAGACACGGACCAGACUCCUACGGGAGGCAGCAGUGAGGAAUAUUGGACAAUGGGCGCAAGCCUGAUCCAGCCAUGCCGCGUGCAGGAUGAAGCAUCUAUGGUGUGUAAACUGCUUUUAUACGGGAAGAAACCCCGCCUCGUGAGGCGGACUGACGGUACCGUAAGAAUAAGGACCGGCUAACUCCGUGCCAGCAGCCGCGGUAAUACGGAGGGUCCAAGCGUUAUCCGGAAUCAUUGGGUUUAAAGGGUCCGUAGGCGGCCUUGUAAGUCAGUGGUGAAAUCUCCCGGCUCAACCGGGAAAUGGCCAUUGAUACUGCAGGGCUUGAAUUAUUGGGAAGUAACUAGAAUAUGUAGUGUAGCGGUGAAAUGCUUAGAUAUUACAUGGAAUACCGAUUGCGAAGGCAGGUUACUAUCAAUAUAUUGACGCUGAUGGACGAAAGCGUGGGUAGCGAACAGGAUUAGAUACCCUGGUAGUCCACGCCGUAAACGAUGGAUACUAGCUGUU
rnacentral:rRNA from 1 species